rnacentral:rRNA from 1 species
GGACCAGACUCCUACGGGAGGCAGCAGUGAGGAAUAUUGGUCAAUGGGCGGGAGCCUGAACCAGCCAAGUCGCGUGAGGGAAGACGGUCCUAUGGAUUGUAAACCUCUUUAGGCGGGGAGCAAUGCCGGGCACGCGUGCCCGGAGGGAGAGUACCCGCAGAAUAAGCAUCGGCUAACUACGUGCCAGCAGCCGCGGUAAUACGUAGGGGGCGAGCGUUAUCCGGAUUCAUUGGGCGUAAAGCGCGCGUAGGCGGCCUGUUAGGUCGGGGGUCAAAUACCGGGGCUCAACCCCGGUCCGCCCCCGAUACCGGCAGGCUUGAGUCUGGUAGGGGAAGGCGGAAUUCCCAGUGUAGCGGUGGAAUGCGCAGAUAUUGGGAAGAACACCGGCGGCGAAGGCGGCCUUCUGGGCCACGACUGACGCUGAGGCGCGAAAGCUAGGGGAGCGAACAGGAUUAGAUACCCCCGUA